rnacentral:lncRNA from 1 species
GGUAAAGGUGCCUAGGUCCUUGGCUAAGCACAAGCUCAACACUACUUACGGGUUUAGUUAAGACAGCAGGACGGUGGUCAUGGAAGUCGAAAUCCGCUAAGGAGUGUGCAACAACUCACCUGCCGAAUCAACUAGCCCCGAAAAUGGAUGGCGCUUAAGCGCGCGACCUACACCCGGCCAUCGAGGCAAGUGCCAGGCCCCGAUG